CAACAACGGCACCUCCGCUAUGUUUGGAAAGUCGCUUUUCGUUUAUCUUUACAUCUUUUCAGUGGCGACACCAGCAAUUCGCGUUGUUAAUCCCGAUGCACGUCGUCACUCGGCCCUACUUAAGACAACCAAAGAGGCACGUUACUGUGGGAAGUAUGGUCUUCUCCAAACCUCCACUGGAGCUGCUCAGCCAAAUCACUGCGUUGACUCACGCAGAGAAGCUUCUCCGAGCAGAUUGUACCCACGCGCCUUCACGUCAGCAGUGUCUGGGAGAGCUGGUGGUGCCAUUAGGACAAUAUGAAAAGGCACCGCUUCGGUGGCUCGUUACAAACGAUGUCGGAUAUAUGAAGUAGUACGUCACACCUGUGAUGUGUCCAACUGGUGCAUGAUGCUUACUGAGGUCCUGUGCUGCGGGCCAUGGACAAAGGCAGAAGUGGCAGAGGAGGGUUGGUGGCUCGCCUGGAGUUCAGGAAUUUAAUCACAGCUCAGUGAGGGACAUCAAGCCAUGUUCCCUGCCAUCUUGACUAGCAAGUGAGUAAAAUGACCAUCAUGUUCAUGUGUAUUUUAAAAGCUUUAAGUUUUUUUUAAUUUUUCAAUCGCUCACUCAAUUUAACAUCAAGAUCUUAAUUGUGAGAGUCCUUGCAGGCGUGGUGUGGAUAAGAAUGUUGCACGCCUUCUGAGAGACAGAACCGGCAGAUAAAGAGAAUCACAUGAAUCGCACUUUGUGCUAACCUGUGAGGAGUCCUUUGACAAGCUGGAACCAAUGUGAUGUGGAGUCAUUGAGAGGUUUCACUUGGCCAAUCAGCCUGUUCCCAACAUUUUGGAUGCUUGUUGUCGUGCAAAGGGACCAUCAGUAGUAGAGGCCUUGUUUCAGCCUCGGGUGGACUGUGGGAUGGUUGUGUGUCUGGACAUCUUUCACUGGAUCCCCUGGUUUGACGCAGCCAUCCGUACAGAGUCUCAUGCAAAGUACUCAGCAUUUAAGUCUGCACUAGCUGGGGCGCUGCUGCCUUAAAACCGCGAAGACCUCGAGCUGCUUAUAAGGGUCGCCAGAGCAAAGGACCCAGUAACAAUGCAGUCUGUGUCUGCAGUUGUCUGCCUGUACAUUUCCAGGGACAGGUAAAACAGCAUGUGCGGAGGGUCACACUGACGCCCGAGGAAACAUUUCGGAUCAUCCAUUUGGUUAUUGAGGAGCUGAAAGUUCCAGCUGGGCUGGAUGAGGGUGGAGUGAGUCUGUUCAAAACACCUGGUGUCAUUGUUGAGGGCAGCACAGCAGUGACACCUGGAGUGCAUUCAGGACCCAGCAGACACAAACAUGUACAGGGUGGGUACCACAAGAAAAAACAACGUGGAUUAAAAAUGUCUGCGUGGAAGCAACAGCCUGGAAGGUUUUCACGAAUAACUUCCUAACAUGAUUUCAGGUCCUCACUGAUAAGUGGCUUUGCAAGGUGGAAGGAGGAGCUCAGAUGCUGUAUUUGGUGGUAAAGGAUUUACUCUGCAGCACUGAUCAAUUGCCUCAACACUUGCUGUCAGCAGCUGUUUGGAGAACCUGUAGAAGUAAACAUCUGUGGCCCAGCUGAUCUCACAUCCACUGAAUUACUCAGACUGGAGUACUUGUUCAGCCAGAGCAGAGGAGACUCUGUAAUUUUCUCUCUGUAGGACAUCGUCAGUGAUGGACCUGGUUCUGAGGAGGAGGUGGUUCAGCCUGAGCAACCCGAGCCAGAUGAUCCCGGUGAAACAUUGCAGAGUGACGAGGAGGAAGAUGCCUGCAGUACAAAAGCCAUCCUGGAUUUGAAAAGCUGGAAAUGUUCUGCUCUGUGUUUGUGGAGAUUAGCCUGAUAGAGGACAAAUUAUCACUUACCGCUGAGCAGAGGAACAAGGUCCUUCAGUGUGGAGGGGCAUGACAAGCAGCCACAAUAGUUUAACCAGCUGUACAAGACCCACUGGGACAACACCCUCUACUGCCACACUGACAGGGAUGACCUCGUUGAUGCUGCUCUUAUACAGAGAGUAAAGAUGACCAAGUGCUAGGGACCCGCACAACGUGACAUCAGCACUCGGAGCAACAGUUAAACUAAACACUUGUGGUUAUGCUCACCUCAGGGUACUCACAACAGUCCAGAGAAAGUCUCUAUUUUAAAGGCCUGUGAGCGAAUCCAGCAUCGUGUUCUGGUGGAAGAUGCGGUUCUUUCUAAAAUAAACAUCAAGACUAUGCGGGACUUCAACCAUCAGCAAGAAACUAUCCUCAAUCUGCAUGCAAGAAAACAUACAUAGGAUUCAGUGCAUGAAUAAGUUCCUGAAUCCUUUAUCAUCCACAGCUAAAAUGGUUGGAAAUCAAGUGCAAUCAUUUUGGACAGGUCUUUAUCAAUUAAGUUCUGUCUUGCUGGGGUCACAGACCUCUGCAAAAACUUUCUUAUAGAGCUCUGGGUUGGUUUAGGUGGUUGUGGUGGUAUACUGCAUGAUGCUGUAGAUACUGCAGCAGCUACAGUUGCAGUAGACACACUGGCACCUUCAUUAAUAUCACUCUCAUUUGACUGUGUUUUAUCUUCCCAGUGCACUGAUGGGUGGACUGUUCUCAGGUCUCUGUGCAGGUUGUUUGAGUUCUGUGAUAUCUCUGUGAAGGUUCUCAGUCAUCGUAGUCAAAGGAGCUUGCAAAG